rnacentral:rRNA from 1 species
UACGUAGGUGGCAAGCGUUGUCCGGAUUUACUGGGCGUAAAGAGCGCGCAGGCGGUUGUGCAAGUCGCGUGUGAAAGCCCCCGGCUCAACUGGGGAGGGUCACGCGAUACUGCUCGACUUGAAGGCAGGAGAGGGAAAUGGAAUUCCCGGUGUAGUGGUGAAAUGCGUAGAUAUCGGGAGGAACACCAGUGGCGAAGGCGACUUCCUGGCCUGUUCUUGACGCUGAGGCGCGAAAGCUAGGGUAGCAAACGGG